GGGUCCAUAGCUCAGUGGUAGAGCAUUUGACUGCAGAUCAAGAGGUCACCUGUUCGAACUUGGUUGGGCCCU
rfam:Ipomoea nil DNA, scaffold: scaffold2036, cultivar: Tokyo-kokei standard.